rnacentral:lncRNA from 1 species
AUUGUAAAACAUUCUUUGUAUCUAAAUAAUAAUGGACUUGAAUCUAUAUGGAGAGAAGGUAACCAACGAUAUCAAAGAUAUUUCGUUAGAGUUUUACUAUCAAUAAUUCAUUAUUUAUGUGGAACCUCCAGAGUCCAACCCCAUUGGUCAUUGGAAGGGGAAAUAUGAGUAAAUUGCCAUGGCAGAGAGAGCCGUUGGAGCAAUGAAAAGGUUGAUAAUUCUGUAAAUUGGAAAAAGUUGUGAAACUUUGGUGAGCAAUCCGGCUAUUCAGAUUGAAAAAGAAUAUGACAUUUAUAGAAUUGAGGACAAAGAGAAAAAAGAAUCCGUAACAAAGAAAAUCACUGGAGACAUCUUAGUUAUCACAAUUUGUGAAAAAAGCUGUUCAGAAUUUGAAUUUACGUUUGAUAUUCCUCAUGAAGUUCAUGUGGAUUUUGCAAUAAACCAUCAACUGGAUCAGUUCAAAAAAUAGGAUCUCAACUUUCAGGGGCUCAGUUAUGUAUCGGGUUUUAUUGCCCACAAGAUGAAACUUUUAUAUCCGGAUUUGGGGAAGAAGUCAAGCGACAUAUAUUUGAAUGAUCAUGGACUGACACCAUGGAUAUGUGUUAGAGGAGGACUGAUGGUGCCAUCUGUUUAUUUUUUAAAAGAUUGUGAAGUUUUCGACCAGAAGUUCAAGGAAUUCCAUUUACCUGUAUUAGAUCGUCAUCCAAAAGUAAUCGAACGUUUUUGUCAAGUUUUGGAAGACUCCUUUGGAGGAAAGUAUGACAAGGCUAUUUGAAUCUCUUCGCCAAGACAAGGAUACUAAUAAGAUACCUCAAUGCACAAUUAGAAUUUAAUACUGGAGGGAGUGAAAGAAUAAGAGGAAAAAAGUAAAUCGGCCAAUUUCAAGUUUAAUUAUAAUUUAACCAAAUAUUCAAUAUAAUAUUAAUUAUCACCAAAUAGAUUAUUUUAUAUAUGUAUAGUAUAUAACUUAUCUACGGCAAAACCAAUUCUUAUUAUUUCCUAUGUUCUGUAUUAAAAAUUUAUCGUUCAAUAAAAAGUGAAGCACA